rfam:Bosea sp. Leaf344 contig_6, whole genome shotgun sequence.
CGCAAGGGGUUCUUCGCGACGACCCCGUGAGGCGUCAGCCCAAUGUUCGCGUCCACUUUCCUCGUUUCAGGGAUGGACGCUCAUG